UUGAACGCUGGCGGCAUGCUUUACACAUGCAAGUCGAACGGAAUAAGAAGCUUGCUUCUUAUUUAGUGGCGAACGGGUGAGUAAUGCAUCGGAACGUACCGUGUCGUGGGGGAUAACCUGGCGAAAGUCAGAUUAAUACCGCAUACGCACUAAGGUGGAAAGCCGGGGAUCUUAGGACCUGGCGCGAUACGAGCGGCCGAUGUCUGAUUAGCUAGUUGGUGAGGUAAAGGCUCACCAAGGCGACGAUCAGUAGCGGGUCUGAGAGGAUGAUCCGCCACACUGGGACUGAGACACGGCCCAGACUCCUACGGGAGGCAGCAGUGGGGAAUUUUGGACAAUGGGCGCAAGCCUGAUCCAGCCAUGCCGCGUGAGUGAAGAAGGCCUUCGGGUUGUAAAGCUCUUUUGUCCGGGAGCAAAUCCUAGUUGCUAAUAUCAGCUGGGGAUGAGAGUACCGGAAGAAUAAGCACCGGCUAACUACGU
rnacentral:rRNA from 1 species